rnacentral:rRNA from 1 species
UACGGAGGGUGCGAGCGUUGUCCGGAAUCACUGGGCGUAAAGGGCGCGUAGGCGGCCUGAUAAGUAGGGGGGUGAAAUCUUGCGGCUUAACCGCAAGGCUGCCUUCUAAACUGUCAGGCUAGAGCACAGUAGAGGCAGGUGGAAUUCCCGGUGUAGCGGUGGAAUGCGUAGAGAUCGGGAAGAACAUCAGUGGCGAAGGCGGCCUGCUGGGCUGGUUACUGACGCUGAGGCGCGACAGCGUGGGGAGCAAACAGG